rnacentral:rRNA from 1 species
AUACGUAGGGUGCAAGCGUUAAUCGGAAUUACUGGGCGUAAAGCGUGCGCAGGCGGUUUUGUAAGAAAGUGGUGAAAUCCCCGGGCUCAACCUGGGGACUGCCAUUGUGACUGCAAGGCUGGAGUGCGGCAGAGGGGGAUGGAAUUCCGCGUGUAGCAGUGAAAUGCGUAGAUAUGCGGAGGAACACCGAUGGCGAAGGCAAUCCCCUGGGCCUGCACUGACGCUCAUGCACGAAAGCGUGGGGAGCAAACAGGAUUAGAUUCCCUGGUAGUCCACGCCCUAAACGAUGUCAACUGGUUGUUGGGGAUUUAUUUUCUCAGUAACGAAGCUAACGCGUGAAGUUGACCGCCUGGGGAGUACGGCCGCAAGGUUGAAACUCAAAUGAAUUGACGGGG